GUCUCGUUCCUCCAAUAACAGUAGUAUUUCACCGUCCAAAAAGUAGCAUUCUCAACCAAAUUUUGGGUAUUUGUCCUAAAAGGACAAGGCUGUGAAAAGGCAAGGUAUGUGUACUGACUUAGUACCAAGUCCUUGUCAAUGUAUUAUCUACCUGAGAUAUUAAAGAGUAGGAGAAGACAGGCAAAUUAACAUGUUCACCAUCUCCGAUGAUUGUACAA
rnacentral:misc_RNA from 1 species